rnacentral:rRNA from 1 species
AGGACGAACGCUGGCGGCGUGCUUAACACAUGCAAGUGGAGCGACGAACCAGGCUUGCCUGGGGCAAAGCCGCGAACGGGUGAGUAACACGUGGGUAAUCUGCCCCGAUGACCGGGACAACCCGAGGAAACUCGGGCUAAUACCGGAUGUGGUGAACACACACAAGUGUGUUCACUAAAGGAAGCUUCGGCCUCCGCAUCGGGAGGGGCCCGCGGCCCAUUAGCUAGUUGGUGGGGUCAAGGCCUACCAAGGCAACGAUGGGUAGCUGGUCUGAGAGGACGAUCAGCCACACUGGGACUGAGACACGGCCCAGACUCCUACGGGAGGCAGCAGUGGGAAUCUUGCGCAAUGCGACGAAGCGUGACGCAGCAACGCCGCGUGAGGAAGACGGCCUUCGGUGUAACCGUCUUUCGAGGUAGGAACGAACGGUCCGCCGGUGAUAGCCGUGCGGAUGACGUACCUCAGAAGAGCUCCGCUACUACGUG